rnacentral:ncRNA from 1 species
AAAGAAUUAGUCCUAACCUUGCUGUUAACUCGUGCUAAAUAUAUACAUGCAAGUAUCCGCGCUCCAGUGUAAAUGCCCUCAGCUUCUUACUAAGACACCAGGAGUGGGCAUCAGGCACACCCACCAGCCGUAGCCCAAGACGCCUUGCUCAGCCACACCCUCACGGGCACCCAGCAGUAAUUAACAUUAAGCAAUAAGUGUAAACUUGACUUAGUUAUAGCACACCUUAGGGCCGGUAAAUCUUGUGCCAGCCACCGCGGUCAUACAAGAGGCCCAAGCUAACAGCCAUUCGGCGUAAAGAGCGGAUUCUUACUAUUCAAGUGACUAGGAUUAAAUCGCAACUAAGCUGUCAUAAGCCUAAGAUGCACCUAAAACCACCCUCAAAGCGAUCCUAGUACCCACUGACUGACUAAAACCCGCGAAAGCCAGGGCUCAAACUGGGAUUAGAUACCCCACUAUGCCUGGCCCUAAAUCUUGAUACUUGCCCCACCGAAGUAUUCGCCUGAGAACUACGAGCACAAACGCUUAAAACUCUAAGGACUUGGCGGUGCCCCAAACCCACCUAGAGGAGCCUGUUCUAUAAUCGAUAACCCACGCUACACCCCGACCCCUCCUUGCCCAAACAGCCUACAUACCGCCGUCGCCAGCUCACCUCUUCUGAGAGCUCAACAGUGAGCUCAAUAGCCCCUCCGCUAAAACGACAGGUCAAGGUAUAGCCUAUGGAGUGGAAGAAAUGGGCUACAUUUUCUAAAAUAGAAAACCACGAAAGGGGGUAUGAAACAACCCCCAGAAGGCGGAUUUAGCAGUAAAAUGGGACAAUAAAGCCCCCUUUAAGCCGGCCCUGAGGCACGUACAUACCGCCCGUCACCCUCCUCGCAGGCCAUAUACUUUCAUAAUUAAUAACUCGGAUUCGCCAAAGAUGAGGUAAGUCGUAACAAGGUAAGUGUACCGGAAGGUGCACUUAGCAUAU